GUCUUCUUCAAAGAAAACAUUUUUUCAGAGAGAUCUUUUUCCUUGUUGCAGGCUGCUGCUAAAAUUAUGAUGAAAAAAAAAAAGGGGAGAAUAGUCAACAUAUCAUCUGUUGUUGGUUUAGUUGGCAAUGCUGGGCAAGCCAACUAUAGUGCGGCAAAAGCAGGAGUGAUUGGGUUAAACCAAAAGUGUCGCAAAAGAGUAUGCCAGCAGGAAUAUAACUGUAAGUGCUCCUUAAUCCAAAUUAUUAUUCACUUGGGUUAAUGCUGUGGCCCCUGGAUUCAUUGCAUCAGAUAUGACUUCCAAGCUAAGUGAAGACGUUGAGAAGAAACUUUUGGCAAGCUUCCCAUUAGGACGAUAUGGCCAACCAGAAGAAGUUGCUGGAUU